rnacentral:tRNA from 1 species
CCUUGAGGCUCAGAGAGUAAAGAAUCUGCCUGUAAUGCAGGAGACCCAGGUUCAAUCCCUGGGUCAAGAA